rnacentral:lncRNA from 14 species
GGGAAACUGCCUUCUCCUGCCACUCACUCUGAAAAUGGCCAGACUGCUAGAUGGUCUGCUGCUUCUGAACAGGACAGCCUGAUUUUUCCAGCUGCUAAGCCUAGGAGAGUAAUUCCAGAGGACAGAAUGACCAAGGUGGCACUUUGCUCAGGAGACCCAAGAGCUUCGUGCCCAGCUGGUUCCCUGGAACCUGAGCUUAGUCUAGCUACACUUGAUAGCUCUGCUGUACGAGUAGAUGUGGGGCAUGUUUGCAUCCCCAGCCCCACUUCACCUGCUCUGGGAUCCAGAGAAGCCUCCAACCUUUCUGUUUCUGCCAUGGAAAUGUUGGACAUUGUUCAGGGGAACAGUAAUUCUUCCAGUCACAGAACCAGUGAUGAUGUAGAGGAGGCCUCCUGCAUGCAACAGGCAGACAAAAGUGUCUUAGCGGAGUCAAUGCCUUUGAAGUCUUUGGAAACAGCAUCUGAGUCAGCCUGUACUGAGUGUGUGUGUGGAAGUGCAGUAGGACAGGUGAUACUUGAUUACUGUCCUUCUCCUAUCUCAGAAGCCCCUUGUGUGAUGGAUAAUGGAGUAGGUGCUGCACCUACAGAGUUGAAUGAGCUGUGUUCUGAGGAGGCAGGGGAAGAUAAUGAUGUGAAGGGACGAGAACAUGCUAAAUUCCAAGAUGCUGCUGUUUUGUUUAAAAAAGCUGAGGAAAUAGUGGACUCAGUUUUACACUUGGCUAUAGAAGAAAUAAUAGCAAACGAGGCCAUUGGUGUUGGUCAGCUUUGUGGGAGCAAAGAUAGUUUAAUAAAUAUGGAUGUUCUACAUGAUCAGAAAGCUGAAACUGUGCAGCUGAAAGCAGAAGUCCAGUCAACUGUGCAGUCAUUAAAGCAUUUUAAUGAGAGCAGUAGAGAAGGCUCAUCUUCAGUUACAAGAAAUGAAACAAAUCAUCAAGAUGCAAAGAUGCUGUCUUACACCCCUGAUAGAGCUGACCUGCACAGUGCAUUAACGCUAAAAGCAAAAGAAGCAGUUGAUGAAGUCAUUAACUCAGCCAUACAGAAAUGGGCAUCCAGUCAGCAGCAAGGC